rnacentral:rRNA from 1 species
GACGUAGGGCGCGAGCGUUGUCCGGAUUUAUUGGGCGUAAAGAGCUCGUAGGCGGCUUGUCGCGUCGAAUGUGAAAACUCGGGGCUCAACUCCGAGCUUGCAUUCGAUACGGGCAGGCUAGAGUUCGGUAGGGGAGACUGGAAUUCCUGGUGUAGCGGUGAAAUGCGCAGAUAUCAGGAGGAACACCGAUGGCGAAGGCAGGUCUCUGGGCCGAUACUGACGCUGAGGAGCGAAAGCGUGGGGAGCGAACAGG